AUUGAACGCUGGCGGCAGGCCUAACACAUGCAAGUCGAGCGGCUCGGCGGUGGGGUGAGGAAUGGCAAGGUAUCGGCCACGUACUGGGGGAGAGCGUCCGGUAACGGGCGCUAAAACUGCAAACUAUCAGAAGAGCCUAGGUCCGAUUCGCUAGGUGGUGGGGUAAAGGUUUACCAAGGCGACGAUCCGUAACUGGUCUGAGAGGAGGAUCAGUCACACUGGAACUGAGACACGGUCCAGACUCCUACGGGAGGCAGCAGUGGGGAAUAUUGGACAAUGGGCGAAAGCCUGAUCCAGCCAUGCCGCGUGUGUGAAGAAGGUCUUCGGAUUGUAAAGCACUUUAAGUUGGGAGGCGUUACCAACAGAAUAAGCACCGGCUAACUUCGUGCCAGCAGCCGCGGUAAUUC
rnacentral:rRNA from 1 species